GCUGGGCAUGGUGGUGCAUGCCUGUAAUCCCAGCUACUCGGGAGGCUGAGGUGGGAGCAUCGCUUGAGCCCGGGAGGUGGAAGUUGCAGUGAGCCGAGAUUGUGCCACUGCACUACAACCUGGGUAAAAGAGUGAGACUCUGUCUCAA
rnacentral:SRP_RNA from 1 species